rnacentral:ncRNA from 1 species
GCUUAUUAAGAAAGACUGAGGGAAUGGGCCCUGUGAUGUCUUGGCAACCGCCCAGCAGCAGUUCCUGAGUAUGUUUAUUGCUUGGAAAGGUGCCAAAUCCCACUCGAUCUUUUCGAUCGGGAUAAAUAAG